UACGUAGGGUGCAAGCGUUGUCCGGAAUUAUUGGGCGUAAAGAGCUCGUAGGCGGUUUGUCGCGUCUGCCGUGAAAGUCCGAGGCUCAACUCCGGAUCUGCGGUGGGUACGGGCAGACUAGAGUGAUGUAGGGGAGACUGGAAUUCCUGGUGUAGCGGUGAAAUGCGCAGAUAUCAGGAGGAACACCGAUGGCGAAGGCAGGUCUCUGGGCAUUAACUGACGCUGAGGAGCGAAAGCAUGGGGAGCGAACAGG
rnacentral:rRNA from 1 species